AGUGAACGCUGGCGGUAGGCCUAACACAUGCAAGUCGAACGGCAGCACAGUAAGAGCUUGCUCUUACGGGUGGCGAGUGGCGGACGGGUGAGGAAUACAUCGGAAUCUACUUUUUCGUGGGGGAUAACGUAGGGAAACAUACGCUAAUACCGCAUACGACCUACGGGUGAAAGCAGGGGAUCUUCGGACCUUGCGCGAUAGAAUGAGCCGAUGUCGGAUUAGCUAGUUGGCGGGGUAAAGGCCCACCAAGGCGACGAUCCGUAGCUGGUCUGAGAGGAUGAUCGGCCACACUGGAACUGAGACACGGUCCAGACUCCUACGGGAGGCAGCAGUGGGGAAUAUUGGACAAUGGGCGCAAGCCUGAUCCAGCCAUACCGCGUGAGUGAAGAAGGCCUUCGGGUUGUAAAGCCCUUUUGUUAGGAAAGAAAAGCAGCAGGUUAAUACCCCGCUGUUCUGACGGUACCCAAAGAAUAAGCCCCGGCUAACUUCGUG
rnacentral:rRNA from 1 species